AGAUUCAGCACUUUGCCAUGAAGAUAUUUUGUGCCUUGUCCUUGAUGCUAUUUAUAGAACUCAUGGUUGCUCCAGACUGAUCAGUUAUUGUCCUCUUCUGGUUGUGCAGGAUUCACCAGUUACAGAUAAAAGGACCUCUAUGAUUUCCUGAAGCUCUGGACCCUUUCUUCU